GCUGGGUGUGGUGGUGCAUGCCUGUAAUCCCAGCUACUUGGGAGGCUGAGUCAGGAGAAUCGCUUGAACCCAGGAGGCAGAGGUUGCAGUGAGCUGAGAUUGCGCCACUGCACUCCAGCCUGGGUGACAGAGCAAGACUCUGUCUCAA
rnacentral:SRP_RNA from 1 species